GGGGAAUAUUGGACAAUGGGCGAAAGCCUGACGCAGCGACGCCGCAUGAGGGAUGAAGGUUUUCGGAUCGUAAACCUCUGUCAGAAGGGAAGAAACCGCACCGUGCUAAUCAGCGGUGCCUUGACGGUACCUUCAAAGGAAGCACCGGCUAACUCCGUGCCAGCAGCCGCGGUAAUACGGAGGGUGCAAGCGUUAAUCGGAAUUACUGGACGUAAAGCGCGCGUAGGUGGUUCGUUAAGUUGGAUGUGAAAGCCCCGGGCUCAACCUGGGAACUGCAUCCAAAACUGGCGAGCUAGAGUAUGGCAGAGGGUGGUGGAAUUUCCUGUGUAGCGGUGAAAUGCGUAGAUAUAGGAAGGAACACCAGUGGCGAAGGCGACCACCUGGGCUAAUACUGACACUGAGGUGCGAAAGCGUGGGGAGCAAACA
rnacentral:rRNA from 1 species